UACGUAGGGUCCGAGCGUUGUCCGGAAUUAUUGGGCGUAAAGAGCUCGUAGGCGGUCUGUCGCGUCGGCUGUGAAAACUCGGGGCUCAACCCCGAGCCUGCAGUCGAUACGGGCAGACUAGAGUGCUGUAGGGGAGACUGGAAUUCCUGGUGUAGCGGUGAAAUGCGCAGAUAUCAGGAGGAACACCGAUGGCGAAGGCAGGUCUCUGGGCCACUACUGACGCUGAGAAGCGAAAGCAUGGGGAGCGAACAGG
rnacentral:rRNA from 1 species